UUACCAGAUUAAAUGGCUAACAAAAGAGGUUAGCUGGAUGCUAGGUAAUUCGUAUGGAAUUAUCGGAUUGACUUUGGCAACCAAGAUGGGUUAGCCAGAUUUCUUGGGUAAUUAAGAGAAUUAUCGGGUUUAUUGGUUAAUAAGGAAGCUAACUAGAUAUGGGGUAAUUCGUAUGGAAUUACCGGAUUGAUUGGCUAACAAAAAAGGUUAACCGAAUGUUAUGUAAUUCGUAUGGAAUUACUAGAUUAAUUGGCUAACAAAAGAGGUUAGCUGGAUGGUAGGUAAUUCGUAUGGAAUUACCAGAUUGACUUUGGCAACCAAGAUGGGUUAGCUAAAUUUCUUAGGUAAUUAAGAGAAUUAUCAGGUUUAUUGGUUAACAAGGAAGUUAACUGGAUAUGGGGUAAUUCGUAUGGAAUUACCGGAUUGAUUGGUUAACAAAAAAGGUUAGCCGGAUGUUAUGUAAUUCGUAUGGAAUUACCGGAUUGACUUUGGCAACCAAGAUGGGUUAGUCAGAUUGCUUGGGUAAUUAAAAAAAUUACCAGGUUUAUUGGUUAAUAAGAAAGUUAACUGAAUAUGGGAUAAUUCGUAUGGAAUUACAGGAUUGAUUGACUAACAAAAGAAGUUAGCUGGAGGCUGGGUAAUUCGUAUGGAAUUACCAAAAGUACUGGUAACCGAGGAAGGUUAACCAAAUAUGUGGGUAAUUAUAUGAAAUUACCAGAAUUAUUGGCAA